GAGUUCAUGACUAUAUACAGAUAAUACAAACGGAUCCGUUCAUGACGGAUGCAUUUGGUUGUAUUAUUGUGACGGAUCCGUUUUUGCAGAUCCAUGACGUGAAAGUAGCCUUACUUGCAACAUUUUCCUUCCAAAUGAUAAUAUCAAAUAAACAUCUCUGAUUUUUGAAAGGCUUAAAGGGAGUCUGUCACCUGUUUUUCACCAAUAUAACUAAGAGCACUGCCCCACAGAAGAUUGCAUACACAUCUCAAGCAUACCUGUAUGUACUAUGUGUCUGUAUUCCAUGUCCAGGAAAAGCACUUUUAUUCUGCUGGAAAACAUCUCCCAAGUGCCCGGCUCUGCUGCUCCAAGUGCCCAAAGCAAACCAGACUGAAGGGGGAGGGCUGCUUUAGCUGCUCAUAUAUUAGGAUUGGUACCAGCUAGAAACAUGACCUUGUCAGGUCAUGUUAUCCACAGCAUUAUAUCCACUAUAUCAGAAGAUAUAGCCGUUAGAAAUAGAGUCAGGUCAUGUUAUCCACAGCAUUAUAUCCACUAUAUCAGAAGAUAUAGCCGUUAGAAAUCGAGUCAGGUCAUGUUAUCCACUGCAUUAUAUCCACUAUAUCAGAAGAUAUAGCCGUUAGAAAUCGAGUCAGGAGUGAAAGCUGUUUUUACUGCCGGGCACUUGGGAGCUGUUUUCCAGCAGAAUAAAGGUACUUUUACUGGACAUGGAAUACAGACACAUAGUGCACACAGGUAUGCUUGGGAUGUGUAUGCAAUCUUCUAUGGGGCAGUGCUCUUAGUUAUAUUGGGGAAAAUUAGGUGACAGACUCCCUUUAAGGCUACAGUUUGCUGGUCAGGUACAUGUAUUAGACCCUGCUAAUGUGUGAGUAAACUGAUUUGAAAAACACAGAUGAUGUCUUCUACCAAUAUGAUCUACUUUCUUUUAAUGAGGCUCUGACAGCAGUUUUGACCAUGCCACCGCAGAGGGCACUUCACGAUAAGGGACCCGACCACCACCAAGCACUUGUGAGAGCAGCAGCCCACAGAUGAAAGUUUAGAUUAUCAGUACCUUCUUAUAAUAAAAUCUGCAAUGAAAGGUAUGAUUACCCACCUUGCCCCAGCCCCAACCUAGUGCUGUCAUCAGUUUUGCAAGGUCAAAACUGCUGACAGACUCUACUUAAGAUAAAUACACUGGGGGAGAUUUAUAUAAAAGGGGGAGAAGUUAUGCACAGGAACCAGUAUGGUAUGGUGACCACUUAUAUUUUCCAAAUGGCAUCUACAAGAUGAUUGGUCACUAUAGACCAGGGAUCAGCAACCUCCAGCACUCCAGCUGUUCUGAAACUACAACCUCCAAAAAGCUCCAUUCACAUCCAUGGCAUUUACAAGAAUAGCCAAGAAAGUGUGCAUGCUGGGAGUUGCAGUUUCACAGCACCUGGAGUGCUGAUGGGUGCUGACCCCUACUAUAGCCAAAAAUAAUAAUAAAAAAUUCAAUCAAAGAGGUAGCCCCAUUUUAAGCAUUUAUGGCAUAACAACAGAUUACGCCUGAUAGAUGUAGGUCCCAGGUGGACUGGAAACUUAAAGUGGCCCUGGAAAAAAAUAAAAUAACUACAAGUGGUCCC